UAUGAUUUCACUUGGCCUGACAGGUUUUCUCAAGCACAGCAUAUCACCCAACGCCUUGGUUUCUUGUCAUUGCCUCCGUGAGGUCCAACAUUCAAAAAUCAUGCUUCAUCAAUAAUAUCAGAUUGAGGUCAAUAUAACUAAAUAUGUUCUUCAUGGUCCUUCCCCAAAAUGGCUGCAGUCCAAUGAGUGAAACCAAUUAAAAGAA